GCUCCGUUGGUGAACCAGCGGAGGGAUCAUUACAGAGUUUUCACAACUCCCAACCCUUGCGAACCGUACCCAUUCUGUUCUCGUUGCUUCCGGCGGGCCCUACGAACCUUUAUAUCUCAACCACCAGAAACCGUCUGAGAAAACAAACAAAAUAAUCAAAACUUUCAACAACGGAUCUCUUGGCUCUG
rnacentral:misc_RNA from 1 species